rnacentral:rRNA from 1 species
UCUGGGAAGGUUAAUCUGCAUGGCGACAUUACCGAGUGCAGGUCUGCCCCCGGGCCGGCCUAACCUCUGCCCGUCCGUACCUGACCCCUGUGCUUCGGCGGUGCGCCCCCCCCGGGGGGGGUCGCGGGAGACCACACCGAUCCCCUUGUUAUAACGUGUCGUCUGGGCUUGAUACACACAAACCUAAUUAAAUCUUUCAACAAUGGAACUCUUGGUUCCUGGUUCAAGGACGGACGGGCCCCACUCGAAUUCUCCAAGUGAUUAUUUUAUUGGUUGACCUCGGAUCAGGUAGGGAUACCUUGUGAACCCUGGAUAUCCAUGGGGGGAGGAAGUCCGAGCGUCAUUGCUGCCCUUCAAGCCCGGCUUGUGUGUUGGGUCGUCGUCCCCCCCGGGGGACGGGCCCGAAAGGCAGCGGCGGCACCGCGUCCUGGUCCUCGAGCGUAUGGGGCUUUGUCACCCGCUCGUUUAGGGCCGGCCGGGCGCCAGACGACGUCUCCAAACCUUUUAUUUUACCAGGUUGACCUCGGAUCAGUAGGGAUACCCGCUGAACUUAAGCAUAUCAAUAAGCGGAGGAAA